CCUUUUGUAGCUUAGUGGUUAAAGCAUUGGUGCGUAAAGCCAAAGAUCCCGGGUUCGAUUCCCGGCGAGGGUG
rnacentral:tRNA from 1 species